GAUGAACGCUAGCGGCAGGCCUAACACAUGCCAGUCGAGGGAGAAGCCCUUUCGGGGGCAGAAACCGGCGCACGGGUGCGUAACGCGUAUGCAACCUACCUUUCACAGGGGGAUAGCCCGAAGAAAUUUGGAUUAAUACCCCAUAAUAUUAUUGGAUGGCAUCAUUUGAUAAUUAAAACUGCGGUGGUGAAAGAUGGGCAUGCGUCCUAUUAGCUAGUUGGAGUGGUAACGGCACCCCAAGGCUACGAUAGGUAGGGGUCCUGAGAGGGAGAUCCCCCACACUGGUACUGAGACAGGGACCAGACGCCUACGGGAGGCAGCAGUGAGGAAUAUUGGUCAAUGGUCGGAAGACUGAACCAGCCAUGCCGCGUGCAGGAAGAAUGCCUUAUGGGUUGUAAACUGCUUUUAUAUGGGAAGAAUAAGGCGUACGUGUACGUUGAUGACGGUACCAUAUGAAUAAGCAUCGGCUAACUCCGU
rnacentral:rRNA from 1 species